rnacentral:rRNA from 1 species
UACGUAGGGUGCAAGCGUUGUCCGGAUUUACUGGGCGUAAAGAGCGCGCAGGCGGUCGUUCAAGUCGAGUGUGAAAGCCCCCGGCUCAACUGGGGAGGGUCAUUCGAUACUGAUCGACUUGAAGGCAGGAGAGGGAAGUGGAAUUCCCGGUGUAGUGGUGAAAUGCGUAGAUAUCGGGAGGAACACCAGUGGCGAAGGCGACUUCCUGGCCUGUUCUUGACGCUGAGGCGCGAAAGCUAGGGGAGCAAACGGG